CAGUAGGCAGCCUCUGUUCCCGCUGUGAAGUCGACAAGCUGCAUUCACCUGCUGAACCAGCACUAUUGAAUCCUGGAGGCCAAGCCCAGCCUCGUCAUCUCCACCUCCACGCUGAAGCGCAAUGAGGUGAACGAAGCCCAGCCUCGUCUCCAACUCCAAGCUGGGACAGGGAGACCUUGUCGCUGGUACUUGAGUGCAUGUGUGCCUUUAUGGAAGCAGCUGGUAUACGCAAAAGGAGACGCACUGCUAGGUCAGAGAGAGCAGAACCAGGGGCCAUGGGUUGAAGCUGAAGAAGGGCAUAUUCAGAACUGAGGGGAGAAGGAGCUUUUUCACAGAAAGGGUGGUGAACCAUUGGAACAGGCUGCUGGAUAGAGUUGUUGAAGCAGAGACUAUCAGAUCCUUCAAGAAUAGACUGGAUGGUGUCAUGAGCAAUACUGGAUAACCCUCUCUGUGACCACAAUAAGACCUUCAGCUAGUCGUCUGGAGGAAGGGCGGUCCGUCUAGCCACAGGUUCCCAGAGGUUUCAUUUACCCUCCUAAGCUGGCUUGGGGUUUUUGUUUUUCCUCUCCUGCAUGCUAACGGACCACGCUCGCACCAAAGUGAGCGAGCAGAGGUGGGCCCAAUGGCCUUUUCUCAUUCUCGAAUUUCUUAUUUUCUUAAAUAUGCUACUACUGUUAUGACCUCCGGUAGACUUUUGAGAUAUAAUUUUGUUGUUUGUUUGACUACAUGAUGUUAAAUAAAAUAUCUAAAUUA